GGGCUUGUGGUUUAGUGGUAUAAUACUCCCUUAGCAUCUGAUGGUCUCCUCGUCUUCCGAGAAGCCUUCGAGUAACUGGGAGUGGUCCGGGGUUCGAUUCCCCGCGAGUCCA